AGUCUAGGUAUGAAGAUGCUUUUUUAAUAUAUGUGCCCUUAGAUUGCAAUUUGACAUUUGAGUUGGGAUCCCUCCUAUACUCUGUUUAGAAUCAUUGUUGUUCUUAUUUGUAGUUUACUAACAUAUGAAAACAACUAACUUAUGCAACUUGUGCUACGAUUUUCAGAGAGUUAGCUGGUCUAGUUGAUCGAUCGUAGGUGAUGGAACUAGGUGGGAAUCUAAGGGAAGGGCAGCUACUUAUUUAUCAAGACCCUCCUUCCUCAUAAACCCACUUUGCUUUGAGAUGGCUUCUUGGUUAUCCAGUAGUAUAUGCAUUUGGCAAGGAGCAUAUUUCGGAGGCUAUUUGUAACCUCUCUACCAAGUCUCUUCAUCUUUUCAAAAUAUUUGUUUGUAGGAUAGUUUCAAAUUUAACAAUUCCCAGGAUAGUGUCAAGAGAUAACAACAAAGUUCGCAUUCUUUAGGUUUUGAUUCGACUGACUUGAGAAAAAAAUGAUGGAGAGAUGAAGACAUUCCCGAAGUACAAGAUACUACUAUACAAAGCACUUACGAAACUUUGAAUGAUAGUGUUGAGUGUAGCAUUUCAAGAGAUCAAAUUCGUGAAAUAACUAAUGUCUGUGAUGAAAUUGCUGAUCAUAU